AUCGCCAGGGCUGAGCGGCUGCUGGGUGAGACAAUACCCUGGGCCAGCCGCCGAUCCCGCACAACGCGCUACCUGCAGCUGUGCGCGGCUGCGCUACGCUGCGGAAGCUGCUGUGUCCCCGCGUGUUAGGGCUGAAGGGCGUUUCCCACUCCAAGGGCACAAUGAAGUCUACAGUUUCUCUGCCUAGAAUGCAUUAAUAUUGAAGAUUCUGAACACCUUUGACUACCACUGAGCCAUGAGAGAGAAAGGAAGAGCCCCUCAUGGGAUCAUGUCUGACACAGCUGGCAACUAAAUGUGAAAGACAACUAAGCUGCAGAAAGCUCCAAGCUAGGUUGAAGAAUGCAGAUAAUCCUAGCCAGCAGUCAGUAGAUGCCACAGCACAGACCUGACCUCCUGAUAGGUAAACAUCGAGCCCCACUGACUAUCUGCUUUCUAUAAAAAGUAAAUCUACCUGUUUAAUCACUUUUUGUUGGGGGUGUGUAGGUUUUUGAAUCUCCCUUUUCCAACAGUGCAGCCACACAUUCUUUGGCCACUUCACAGACUACUCAAU